ensembl:lncRNA
GUAAGGGCCUGCCAACGCUACCGCAUGCCCCCUGCCCUCAGUGUCUCUUCGCGCCGGGCUGGCGCAGUGCCCGGCUGGCUGGCAUGGCUUGGCUCAGCUCAGCUUCAAGGUGGCGCCCAUGCUGAAACCCUCAUCUCAUGUCCUCUCAUUUUUCAGUCUCCAUUUACACCUGAUGGGAAAAUACGAUCUGUGUCUGGACAGCUUAUCGCAACGAGGAAAUCAAAGUGUGGGUGUGUGUACAGAUAUGAGGGGUGUAAUUGGAUACGGUACUCGUGACUGGAAUGUGGUUGGAUCUGCCAAACCACUGCUAGAGGAAGUCUGUCCCAUGGAGGAUUAAGGUCUCAUCUCUCAGAUGGUGAUGUUCCUUUUCCACCAUCACCACCGACCCCCCCCAAUGAAACAGUGGACACACCCCACCCACCAACCUGCCCUUUGGCCUCCCGUGCCAUGGCAAUAUGGCACUCGAAUGAACUCUGUGGGCAUGACAGCCAAUCAUCUAUCUGACUGGCAACCAAUCACACCAGGUCCUUGGUCUUGACCUUCUGCUGAAAGGGCCAAUUAUGUGUAAAGUCGUGCAUGCCAACUAAGCAUUUAGGCAUCUUAUAACGCUGCCAACACUUAUCAACUGAAGCAGCUACAACCAUGUACAACCAAAGGGGGAAAGGCUGUUCAUUCAGCUGCCUUAUCAAAUCUCUGAUUUUUUAAAUUGGAAAAAUUAUUAUUAUUAAUGUUAUUGCCAUACAGUACAUUCAAAUGAUAAUUGAUGUAAGCUAUUUAUAAAGGAGCACUCCAGAGCAGAGAUUCUGUGGGCAUUGCGUGUUUGUGUUGCCACGGACACACAACAGCCUGUUGCCGUGCCAACAGAACUGCAUUACCACAGGAAGAGUGCUCUGCACACUUGAGGGUUCUUGUGAUCCAACGGAAGCAUAGAACCUUACAGAAGAACGUGUACAUAAACCAUACACGUGUAUCUCUAGCUUAAAAAAAAACAGAUAUUUCUAUUUCGAUCAUGUAUUUUUUGUUGUUGCUGUGAUUUUGACUUUUAUUCACUCUUUUUUGUCAUUGUACCAUUUCACCAGGUUCAUUUAUCAUGUAUGGGGCUAUGAAUUAAACAGACCACACAAAUAUGCACAAGCAAAACGCUUGAAAGGGCUGGCUUUGGCAAUAAUGUCGGCAGGUUCCCCUCCCUCUUCUAUUAUCUAAUUAUCUGAUGGGAUUGAGUCAUUCCUAACAGUCAUCCAGUCAGAAUGUGGAUACAUUAACUGUCCUUGGUUUUCACUCUUGAGGUUUGAAGUCCAACAUUCAGGUAUGCUGUAAACUGAAACUGGAUUCCUUGUAUGUCUUCUUUCCAGUUAAUUUCUGUACAACAGUAGUAGUUAGGACGCCACAGAGCGGGAUUAGCUAGCUGACUGAAUUUAUACAAAGGUAUUUGAACUUUUUUAUGUUGGUCAAAUGAGCUGUAUGUGUUCCCAGUCCCUGACUGUGUCCUCACUACCAUUCUCAUGAGCAACAAGCUUACAGGCACACACACACACACACACACACACACACACACUAACACACACACACACAGGAGCUGAGAUCAGACUCUGGACCGGAUAUUGGCCAGACGCACGCUAGAGUCAGCUGUCCAAUGUUCUUAUCUUGGUCAUCAUCUGUUCCGCUAGCCUCACUACCCCACCAACCUUUGCCCUAACUAAAACCUCACACCAAAAAAAAACCCACAAUAAUAGAUAUUUUCACAAUCAUGACAUCUUUGUAGAGUGAAAAAGAGAAUGGGAACAAAACAACAAAAAAUAAAAUGCCAAAUGCAUUUUUUGUGAUUUGUGUUUUUAUUUUUAAAUAAAAUGUUCAUCAAAUCACCCCAU